CUAGAUAAGCAAGAAAACAGAUUAUCCUUUAGAACCUCCAAAAGAAUCCAGCCUGCCAACAUCUAGAUUUUAGUCCUGUGGGAUCCAUGUCAGAUUUCUGACAUACAGAGCUGUAAGAUAAAUAAUGUAUGUUGGUAGGAGGGGUUGGAGGAAAAAAAGUAUCUAUUAAAAAGCCAGUAAAUUGACUACUCUGCCUAUGGAGUAGCCAUUCUCUAUUCCUUUACUUUCCUAAUAAACUUGCUUCCACUUUAUUAAUUUGCCUCAAACUCUUCUUUGUGUGAGGUCCAAGAACCCUCUCUUGGGGUUUGGAUCAGGACCCCUUUCUGGUAACAUCUUCCUGAUGAAUCCCAAAGAGGUGAUACUGAGGAGACCCCGGACUCAAAGGAAACAGACUGCAGCACUGAUUGGCUGACUCUGGAGCCAAGAAAACUUUCAAGUUACUUACAGCUUUUAACAAUUGAGUAAAGUCUAUUCCUGUGAACAAAAUUUGGAGCAUAUUUAUUUCUCUCUACCUGAUUUCUCCAGAAUUGGAAAUUAUUUGCGAGCAUUCUUAAUUUAUGGCAAUAUAGUUAUUUGCAUAAGUGCAAUAAGAAUCUGUUUUCUUUUGUAACGGGACACAAUUGGAGACACUGGUUAUUUUACCAAGGUUUUGACUGGAAU
rnacentral:lncRNA from 1 species